CAAAUCUACAUUCGGAGGAAACGCUCCCCAAAGCCUGUUUCAAGCUUUUACUUCUUCGGCCCCCUGCCUCCAAUGCCCUCAACUCUCAGCAGCCGGCUCUUGUGUCCCCCACCGGCAGCCCCCACUCCUUUCCUGGCCCCCAAAUGCCCCUCCCUAACCCAGCCCAAGAUUAACUGGCCUGACCCCUCUCACAAAGGCCGGGCCAGCCCACCAUUGUCUUGCAGUGGAUGGUUGGAGGAAGGGGUGGAGGGGCUGGCAGAGGGCCCAGGGAAAGGAAGGUUUUCUGAAUUGGCCCCAGGCUCCAGAAGCACCCUGGGGAGAGAGUGCUCCUGAGAGACCUGUGGAUGUUUUGACUCAACAAAUGCCCUUGACCUAGAGAAGAGCAAAGAAGGGCGGUUGGAAGGGCAGGGCGUCCAGAGCCCUGAGAACCUGUUGCCGACUGUUGUGGAAGAUGUACAGGAAAGUUUUCACUGCUGUCUUUCUCAGUCCUAGGGAAGAAAAGGCUCCUAGUCUCUCGCCUUAAGUUUUGUGAAGAACUUGAGUGAGUGAGUGUGUGUGUGUGUGUGGAGGCGGGGGGAGUAGGAAGAAGUGUUCCCCGUUGAGCCUGACAUAUUUAUGUGGUUAUCCUCUGAGGCGCUCCUGUGUGUCUGGCACUGUUUGGGGGCUGGGACACUUCAGAGAUCCUUGCCUGUAAGGACUUUUGUUCUAGCUAGGGAGACAGACUUAGAGUAUUCAGAGGCUAGAAGGGAGAAAGUGCUGUGGCCCAAGGUCACGGUGAGGUGCUGAGAGGAGGUCAGAGGUCAUGGUGAGGUGCUGAGAGGAGGUCAGAGGUCAUGGUGAGGUGCUGAGGUAAGGUCAGAGGAGGCCUCAGAGCAGAAGGGUGGCAUCUGAGCUACCCACCUUUGAGGGUGAAGAAGUCCCCAGCCCAGAUACUAAGACCAUCAGGGUCCAGUUGUGGAGCAGCACAGAUGUGGAGAAGGAUCAAUGGACUGGAGAGGAGCAGUCAGUGAGGGCAGCAUCCAGGAAGAUGGAUGGGUGGGCUGAGGCACAGGCUACAAUGCCUGGUCGUCUGCAAGAGAUAGGAAGGAAGGGUUCUGGCCAAAUUUCUGAAAAUUCUGAGUACAGGAAGGCCAUGCCAAAGUGCCUUUGCAAAAGUUCAUUGCAGCUCCAGGAGGGAAAUUAGACAGAGGACAGGUGGGGAGGAAUCUUUUUUCCUAUCAAAUAGAAAUAGAAACAUGUAGGAUUCAAGGGACCCAUGAGAUCGGGAAGAGUAUGCCACACCCACCUGAAGUCUUGAGUUCAACCUACGGCAACCAUGCACAGGUGGAAGGAGAACUGACCACUCCGGUUGUUCUUGAGACAAGCAUGGGGCGAGUAUGCACUCAUUCACACACACACACACACCCCCACACACACCCCAUACUACACUAAAAUAAAAAAAUAAACAAACAAAGAACGUGCA
rnacentral:lncRNA from 1 species